UGGGGAGAAGGCGGUCAUAAAAAUUAGGGGGUGUUUGGUCCUCUUUCUACCAUGAAAUUGAUUACAGAGAACAAUAGAAAUACUUCUUCGUUUGUUGGUUUCUGCACCAGGAUUCUUGGUGGGAGAUCAUUUUCGUUGCAAAUGGAGAACUUGAUGAAAAUUUCUUUUCUUAUUGUGAUGGGUUCGUGAUUUAGUUUGGUUUUGAGAGUUGCUUACGUGAUUAAGGGGUACUUAGGAGAUUUGGUUGGUUUGAAUACGGGGAUUGAACUACAGUGUGAUGUUAAUGAAGGUUUGCUUAGCGAGGAGAAAAAUUCACGGUUUCAACAUGCAUUUCGUGAAGAUGUUUCGGAAAUAGGGAAAUUGUGAUUGCUGCUUCAAACCAACAUACUAAUCCUAAAUUCCUAUAGAGUUGCGAGGAAUUCAAGAUUCAGCUAAUACAUCCUUUUCGAGCAACGCAACUGACUUUGGUUGAGACUGUCAAUACAAGUUUCAUAUGAAUUGAAGGGUUCUGAAUGUAUUUGUAAUUGGGGGUAUGUUCCAUCCUUUCGAGUUGGGCGUGAGCUGACCGUGGACUGGGUUGGGCUGGUCUCAACAGAUCUCUGCUGCAAUCAAUCUAGUUGGGGUCAUUGGGAACUUAUUCACCUUUAUUGAGCUGGCUCCACUGAAAAUAAUAUUGAAAGGCAACCAAGUGGAAGGAAAAGGCAAGAAAGCCGAUGAUGUUUUAGAGGAAUGUUUGGGUAUAUAUUUUCCUCCACGUAGUUAAGUUCAUUGCAGGUGAUGGUUGAUGGUAUUGAAGGUGAUUGGAUGUAUUUAAGUUGGAAAUAGUGGGUGGAGUACCUUGAUCCUAGCUCCUUUUCUAAGUGAUACGUGCCCUACCUUCUUAAACCUAUAAAUCUACCAUUUUCAGUGCAAAAACAUGUUUCAAUUUAGCCUACAAGAAGUCCUAAUUACAACUUAACACCUAAUCUAAAAUCAACUCCAUAUCACCCAAGGUUUUAGUGCCAAGAACCUACCCAAUCAACAUAGAAACUAACCUAAAACCAAUAACUUGGUUAUAUCAUAAAAAUCGUCCUAAUUCAUAUUUUGAGGCACCCCCAAUUCAUCCGUUACAAGGCCUAAAUCUACUCCUACCAGCCCAAGACCUAAACCAAAAGUUCAUUCGCUUAACCCAUACUGUUAGUGCCAUGAAUUCCAUGAUCAUAAUAGUCUGGUAUCCAAAGGUGUCUGAAGAGAAUGGUGGUGAAGAGAGGAGAAAAGGGAGAAAUAUGGUUGUAGAAAAACCCUAUCAGCAAUUGUCCAGUUUCUUCCAAGUUAUGGCUGGUCAAUCUGAAAAUUCUUGACUCAAAGGAGGAAAGUAUCUUGAACCUUACUACAUCUACCAUUGUUUUUACUUCAGAGAUAUUCUCAAAAAUAAAAAAAAUUGUACUAAUAUACCACUAAUUGGACCAUUCAUACAUCCUGCAUCUUUGUCCUGACUUCACUUACUAUCCUUAUGAAUUUGGAGAUAUCAUCCUUUAGGGACCGUAUGCCGACGUAAUGGGAGUUGUUGCCCUGUGGUUCACCUAAGUACGAAACACAAAAAGAAAAAAAAAAGACAAAUCAAACCGUAAAUUUUGGGCAUCUGAAACUAAAACUUAUUACUCUAUUAUACAAUUAUUCAAGAAACUGGUUCUGACAAUGGAUCCGUUGCGUUCAAGCGAGGCCACCAGUUUUUGUCGUCCAUUUAAGAGGGGAGCUCUUCUAGAAAGUGAAACUCUGACAAUCUGGAACCUGGCUUAAAAACCCCGAGAAUCCAUUUUUGAUGAAAUCGAUCAAAUAAUGUCAAGCACCGAUGACGGAAAUCCUCAGGUAAUUGAGAUCAAUGACUGUAAUCAGGAACGACCCGAAGAUCACAGGGGUUUAAUGCUUGACAUUGUCUUGGCGCCACAACACUGAAGAUUAUCGUCGAAUUUGAACCAACAAAGCCAGAAGGAUUGUGUGGUUUUCGAAGGUUCAGAGAGUGGCGGUGAAGAGAGGAGAAAAGAAAAGGGAGAAAUAUGUAGAGGUGUAAAGUGGGCCGUGCCGGGCCGGCGUGGGCGGCCCUUGGUGAAAAAUUUGAGGGUUGGCCUGGCAUGGUUCACAGCCCGGGCCCAUGUGGGCCUGUGCCAUGCCGUGCCGUGCCACGGGCUGGGCUGGCCUGUGGGCCGAGCC